rnacentral:rRNA from 1 species
AUGUGGGAUGCAUAUUGGGACUGGCAGAUCACGGAGGUGCGUAAGAACUGCUUCUCGGUGGUAUACCCAUCCAAAGAAGUGCUGUGGAUGGACAAGAAGAGCGGCACUAUCACCCUCCUGAUCAGUGAGCACAAGGCUGAGGUGGGGGAGCCGCUUCGAGAGCCUCAUGCGAUUUUGAGGCUGCAAGAAUGCUGGGUGCGGGUCACCGGUAUCCCUGACAAGCUGCAACAACCAAACCUGAUGCAUGAAUUUCUCCGUGUGGUGGGCAAGGUUGUGGUCAUCGACGAGUUGUCCAUUGUCUGGCCGGAUAUGGGUGGCCACCGUGGAGCGCCGGUGAGGGCCAAGAUUUGGUGCAGAGACCCUGCCGUGAUCAAUGGGCUAUUUGAAAUCUUUCGCGACCCCAAUGGCUUCAUGAUGCGGGUGAAGCGUGAGCUCGGAGUCCCUCUUGCUCCGCCUCCCCCACCGCCCUCCCCUCCUCGCCCCCGGUCUAACGAGGAUCCCAAUGACAACGAUGAAUCGGCCCCGAGUCUGAACACAGCUGAGUGGGAUGCGGCGGGGGCCAAGGCCAGGAAGUCCAAGGACGUCAGCUCUUCAGCGGUGGUCUCUUCCGGGGUGUCGGGCCUGCCGGCAACGGCACCAGUGGCGGAGGAUCCCAGUGCUCCCUUGGGCAAGGCAGCGUCUCCGUGUCUCCCUUCGGUGGAUAUCCCCCACAUGCUCAGGCGAGAAGCAGGCUUGCCCCUGCUCCCGGUCAACCAGAAUGGCUCGAACCUGGCCCCAGGUGCUCUGCCGCUGCUGGCCUCCUCCCUCAACUCCCCAGCCCCUGCCUCGGCUAAUGUGGGUGUGGAAUCCCCGUCUUUGGGUUGUGGUGGCGCGCGUCCGUUGGGCUCGGCCAUCACGACUUCUUACUCGCCCAUCCUGAGCGCCUCAUCGACUCCGUCCUCGUCGCAUGCGCUUCGCUCAGCGCCAUCUGCUGCUGCCAACCCCUCUGCUAUGGCCGCUGCCCACGCUGCAGGGGUGAGCCCGGUGCAGCUCGCUUGCCGCUUCGAGGGCGAGGAGUUCGUCGACAAUCUUAUGGCGGUAGAUGAAGGAAAUAUGCCCUAG